GGAGAGGUGUCCGAGUGGCUGAAGGAGCACGCCUGGAAAGUGUGUAUACGGCUUAUCCCCGUAUCGCGGGUUCGAAUCCCGCCCUCUCCGCCA
rnacentral:tRNA from 1 species